UACUGGCUCUUCGAAUGCAUCUUUUGGACAAUCUGGCCUAAGGAUUGGAGCUGAGGAUGCUGAGAAAUGCCUGGGAUGCAUCAGAAAUCUUGAGGAGCAUUCAUUUACUGCUUGCUUCUGCUGGCAGCUUCUAAUGUUGGGAGCUGACUAAACAUGCUUCUUCUGGCCUUAGAGGAUCUGUCUAAAACAAGUUUUAAUACUGUUUUUGCCGUGUCAGUACAAGUUUAUCCUUUAUACCUUUUUCAAAUAGGCUAGAGUUUAACUUCCUAACAAUCCUGAAAACCAACUUUCUUCCCUAUAAACUCUGUAGGUUAUUCAUGUCUACCACCCACCCAGCAGUCUACAACCUAGGAAUUUCAGGUUUCCCUGUACUUAAUUUGUAUGUAAAUGUUUGCUUCCUCCUCCUGUGAUGAAACUAAUCUUAAUCAGAGCGUUCUUCUCAGUCUGGAAAUCCCAAACCACUAGACCUCUUCACAACAUCUGCUAAUGGUUCUGUAUGCCCUUGUGGAUUAAACUAAGCUACCUGAUAGCUUUAGGUUAUUGCUUGGCUCCCAGCUGCCUUGGGAGUAGUUGUAUUGUUUUCCAUUUUUAUUUCUCUCCACAAUACUAAAUAAUCUAGGCUUUCUAUCAUAGACAAAAAUUAUUGUGAACCAGUGUAAUUUCAUAACUUACUGAGGUUUUUGAUUGAUUGGGUUUGGUUUUUGGUUUUGGUUGUUUUUUUUUUUUUUUUUAACUUUUACAAUGUUUUCUCACUUACAUUUUUCUUUGGGUUACUAUUAGCUUUAUUUCUUAAGACGUUUGUUUGCUUGUUUGUUUGUUUAUUUGUUUGUUUGAGAGAGGGUUUCACUGUGUAGCUCUAGUUGGCCUGUAACUCCUAGAGAUCCACCAGCUUUCUAGAGAUCCACCAGCUUUCUGCCCGCUUAAUGCUGGCAUUAAAGGUACACACCACUAUACCCAGCAGACAUUAUUUUCGUUACUAUUAAGCUGAGUUAGGUUCAGUUUAGACUUAAAACAGAAGAUACAGUUCCUGCCAAUCUGAUUUCUUAUAUGCUUCUCCUGGAUUAGAUUGUAGCCUUUCUGGAGACAUGGAUAUUAUGUCUUUAUAAUUCUGCGUUUUAUACCAUAUGUAUAAAAUGUGUAUAUUGAUAUACAGUACUCUAAUAAUGAUUUUAUUCUAAUAGUAUAUUUCCAUUUACUUGUUUAUUGGUGCUGGAGUUUGAACCUAGUGUUCUUGAACAUGCUAAGCAAGCGACCUACUGCUGAGUUGCAUUUCCAGUUUUUAUUAUGGAUCCAUUUAAGUACUACUUUGUUAGAAAGGUAGUGUGCAAGACUAAUUUAAGAGAAGAGCUUGGUUGAUCAUUUUUGGACAGAGAUAUUGCUAGGAGCCCAUAAAGUUCUCUGUGCCAAGGUAGAGUGUGAUGUGUCUUCUGUUAAUAGAAUUAUUUUGUUUGGCCAGGUGGCAUUGGUUAUUUUCCAUAAAACCUUGAUGUGUAAGUUAAAAUUCAAUGGCAUGGAUAAAAACUACAUGGUUUACUUAUUUAAAAAUUAUUUGAAGUGUUUUUUUAAAUGGUAAGUCAAAUCUAAGCUAAAAGAGGAGGAGUCAUUAUGCACAAAGCUACCAUCCUCUGCUUACCUAGUCUAGUUAUCCCUGGAUGCUUCAGGGUUAAUGCUAGUCUAGUGUGAAACAUUUGUUGUGUAUUAUUCUGCCCUAAUGAAAGAAAAUCAGAGACCAUGUCCGCUUGCGUCCUCAAUGUUCUUGGUUCUAUGUAUUUAAGUACAGCCUUUUCGUCAUCUGCAGAUGACUUAUUUAUGUUUUAACUUAAAAACACCACAAACUUCAUGUUGGCCUGCACCAUUGACAGUUGAAUGUUGAGCCAUGAAAAUUGGGUUGUCUUUCUUUUCCAAUAAACUUAAAACAGAUUGUUUUCUUGGCCUUUAACUUAGGUUUUCAGGAGAAAAUGUGUAAAUUUUGGUACAGUUUUAAAAAUCUCAGAAAUUUAUUUACUAUUGUAUGUUUGUUUAUUUUGGUCCAACGAAUACUAAAUGUCGAGGUAGUUCUCAGCCAUUGUACAAAUGAUAUUAUUCCUCAGUGUAUGAUUUAGGAGUUAAUUUUUAAGCAGACAACUAUAAGUAUAUAAAGUCUGAGUUAAUACAUUCUACAAAUCUAUUUCAGAAAUAUUCAUAGAAAAAAGAUACAUUUUGGUUGAGUCCUCAUUGUCUCCAUGGUCUCAAGUCUCUCUCUGCACAACAAUAGUCUUGGUGUAGUUGAGAAAGGACCAUAAACCUCUAACCCAGAACAUAUUCACUGUUGCAUUAGCAGGGUCCAACUUGGAUUUUGUUACAACUGCAUUCAUUGGAUUACUGUUCUGAUAUUUAUUGUGCAUGCUAAGUUUUUGAAAAACAGGUUUAGUUUUAUUUCCUGAGUUUAUGCACCUUUUAAACUUAUUCUGUCUUAGAUUGUUUGCCUAGGCUGGUUGGCGAGGGUGAACUGUAAGGUACAGGUUUUGAGCUUGUCAACUUUUGUCAGUAGUACAUUAUGCACACCCUGAUUAUUGGACAGUCACUGCUGCCAGUGCUUUAGCUUCCCAAUGUACUUAGGAAAAACAGCUUUCAAAUACUACUGUGCAUCACAAUUACAGUGAGCUUACUAAAACACAGACUGCAGGACCCCAAAAAGAGUUCCAUCCCUAGUAAGUCUGGGAUAGAGCUUAGGAAUCUGCUUUAUUUCCUAAGUUUCUAUUGUUGCUCUAGAACUAAAAUCCAGAGCACUCAAAUUAUAGGUGUGUGUCACCAUGCCAAACCCUAAAGUUUGAUUGCAAAAAAGGACUGGCCCACCCCAAAGAAUUAAAUGUGUCUACAAAAAACAGCAGGAAAUCAGACAAGCAAACUGUAAUUGUAGUGAAAACAGGAAAAAGCAACAUG
rnacentral:lncRNA from 1 species